ACGGGUGAGUAACACAUCGGAACGUGCCCAAUCGUGGGGGAUAGCGCAGCGAAAGCUGUGCUAAUACCGCAUACGAUCUACGGAUGAAAGCAGGGGAUCGCAAGACCUUGCGCGAAUGGAGCGGCCGAUGGCAGAUUAGGUAGUUGGUGAGGUAAAGGCUCACCAAGCCUUCGAUCUGUAGCUGGUCUGAGAGGACGACCAGCCACACUGGGACUGAGACACGGCCCAGACUCCUACGGGAGGCAGCAGUGGGGAAUUUUGGACAAUGGGCGAAAGCCUGAUCCAGCCAUGCCGCGUGCAGGAUGAAGGCCUUCGGGUUGUAAACUGCUUUUGUACGGAACGAAACGGUCUUUUCUAAUAAAGAAGGCUAAUGACGGUACCGUAAGAAUAAGCACCGGCUAACUACGUGCCAGCAGCCGCGGUAAUACGUAGGGUGCAAGCGUUAAUCGGAAUUACUGGGCGUAAAGCGUGCGCAGGCGGUGAUGUAAGACAGUUGUGAAAUCCCCGGGCUCAACCUGGGAACUGCAUCUGUGACUGCAUCGCUGGAGUACGGCAGAGGGGGAUGGAAUUCCGCGUGUAGCA
rnacentral:rRNA from 1 species